CAUCGGCCUGCCUCCGUCGCUCGGGGAAAAAACAUCGGACUCCCGAGAAAAAAAAGAACGCACCCACGGCCUCUGCGAACGAGACGGUCUUCCUCCUCACGCAACUCCCCCACGCCGCCAGCUCCACAACUGCCUGCUCGAUUGGCCACCGCCUCGCUCCGCAUCCCUGCGCAUAGGUCACCGCCGCACCCUCCAUCGCUCCCUGCGUCGUGGCCCUCAACGUUGCCAUCACGGUUGCGCACGCCGGGGCUGACGUCUCCGCCGUUGUCGCGCUCAUCGUCUCGCUGUGCCUUGCCGAGCUAGGGUUUGGGGUCACCGGCGGUGGCUACCCAGAGAUCGAUGACGCCAUGAUUUUCCCUCUCUACUCUUCCUCUGACCCGAACGGAUCUCCUCCCGUUCUUCCUCUUACUGUCAAGGACCCACUGCAAGCGUCAAGGAAGCCACCCAGGCUGCCUGCCCGGCCCAAGCUCACAAGUUGGCACGUAGGGAUGGAUCAGAGAUCAACAACGGCAAGUACAACUUGCACACCAACUGGUGUCAGCUAUGUCGAGAUAGGCGAGGGAUUCAUCGCUCACCAGACAGCGGCUUGGACAUUGACAAUACCUGCCACUCGGCAGGGCUGUGACACGUCCGGCGGUGUCGAGGCGUCGAGGGUCUUGGUGUGUCCCUGGAGGGUGUUGGAAACAUGUAUGAUAUUGUCCUUGAUGCCUUCAUGCUUCUGGUUCGAAACUGCAGAAGGAGCUUUUAUCUAUUUUUGUUGAUCCAUAAGUGCAUGAUUGUGAAAAUUUAGGAGCACCAUCCCCAAUUUUAUUUGUUAUACGUCAAAUGAAAAGGAAAUUUGGAUCACUGAUAAAUGAAUGUACCUUCAUAUUUUUGACACAGCUAAUAAUGAUUUUAGAGAGCCUUCAAGUUUCAUUGGAAUGGAUGUGUUAGUAGGACUUUUCUCCUCACUAAAUUGGAUGGUUUGGCUGUGCAAAAUAAGGUUGCACAGAGAUCUAUAUGUAAUUGGUUCCUUUGGAGAGGGUAUAUAUUAAUUUCCUUACUGAAAAACUGCAGCUCCUUAACAUGCUGAGAUUAACAUGCUGAGAGUAAUACAGAUGUGCUAACCUUCAUAUUCACUAUUAUGUAUCUAACUUUCUUUUCAUUAGCUUUUAUUUGUUUCAUUAAUUUCUUACUACUAUGUCCUUUUUUUAACUUGUGCAGUUAUUUUUAAUAUUAAUCCCUUCUGAAAAUAAGGACGAUAAUGGCACCCAACAGCCUAUGCAGGCUUGUAACUAAAAAUGGCACACGAUGACCAGCUAUGCGGACAACGCCGAGUGGAUCUCCGCUUCCACAGGUGGGCAGCGCCGGUUGACCUGGCUACUACCUUCUCCUUCUCGGUGUCAAUUCCAUCGCCGUCAUCCGCGUGAGACAGACGGAUCCCAUUGUAAGCUGUUGUGCAUCAUCGACAAGCUAGCGUGUGCUGUCACACCUUCCAUAACGGAGUCGGCCAGAUUUGUUUCUAUAUCAGAUAAUAGUUGUGGUUGCCCGGUUUUUCUUGAAUUUAUUAUGCAUUUAGGUUUAGAACUUCAUAUGCAUGUGAUCCUUUUUGGUCUUACAGGGAUAGGACAGAAUAUCUUGAAGAGAUCAUGUGGUUAAGAAUUCUUGAUUUUAGUGUUGAAGACUAGAGACCUCCAAUAUCUACCGAAAAAGGUUUUGAAAAAACAUCAUUUUCAACACCUACCCAACUGAUUGAGCCUCAUACAUCUUGGAGGCCUGAUAUUGUUCCAUCAUCCAAUGUGCACGACAUUGGUUCUUCACCGAUUGAAAUUGUAAAAGUUUGUCGGAGCACAGAUCUCAGCUUCUGUCAUGAGUCCCAAAAGCGAGAAUUCAGAGCUUUGAGUCAUGGAGUUGAGGCUGACAAUUUGACACCAAAGUUUUCCCUACAAUAACUACUGAUUGUUCUAUAUGUUGUCCUAAUUUAGUUGUUAGAGGUCAUCCCAAUUAUCUUACACCACCAAGUAAUAAAGGAAAGACAGAUCUCACCCUCACCUUACAAUAGCUCAGUUUCUUGGAGAUCUAUUAAGGUUAUAUAUUGACUUUCUUUGCAAUUGGUUUCUAUUCUACCUUGUUUGGAAUUGUGUAACAUUGUUCUCCGUUUGAAAUGUUGUCAAACCUGAGUGUACAUUUGAGUAUAAGUAAUUUAUGUAAUUCUUGCA